CAUGCCCAGCAUAAUCUACCUACGAUAUUUUAUAUUCUGCCCCAUGGGGAAGGAUGAGAAGCUUCGACUAAGGUUCGACUCGAGCGAAGCGAGAGAACGUUGCCGCAGGCAACGGCCCGAAGGGCGAGGCGCUUUAGCGCCGAGUAAUCCUUCCCUCACCACCA
rnacentral:sRNA from 1 species